UACGGAAGGUGCGAGCGUUAAUCGGAAUAACUGGGCGUAAAGCGCGCGUAGGUGGUUGAGUCAGUCAGAUGUGAAAGCCCCGGGCUUAACCUGGGAACUGCACCUGAUACUGCUUGACUAGAGUACGGUAGAGGGCAGUGGAAUUCCUAGUGUAGCGGUGAAAUGCGUAGAUAUUAGGAGGAACACCAGUGGCGAAGGCGACCACCUGGACCGGAUCUGACACUGAGGCACGAAAGCGUGGGGAGCAAAAAGG
rnacentral:misc_RNA from 1 species